UACGAAGGGGGCUAGCGUUGCUCGGAAUCACUGGGCGUAAAGCGCACGUAGGCGGAUUGCUAAGUCAGGGGUGAAAUCCUGGAGCCCAACUCCAGAACUGCCUUGAUACUGGCGACCUUGAGUCCGGGAGAGGUGAGUGGAACUGCGAGUGUAGAGGUGAAAUUCGUAGAUAUUCGCAAGAACACCAGUGGCGAAGGCGGCUCACUGGCCCGGUACUGACGCUGAGGUGCGAAAGCGUGGGGAGCAAACAGG
rnacentral:rRNA from 1 species